AUGGAGGAAAGAGCAAGUCCUGACGUUUGGUCGCAGGAAACUGUUGAUCUUCUAGACUCCAUCCUAGAAUCUUAUCGCGAAAACAACGAAGAGAAACUGCUUAAACUAGAAGACGAUGUAAACACAAUGAAGGGUCUCAUUGAAUGCUCUCUGGCGUCACGCAUACUCAGUGUCCAGAAAGAAAACGAAGCCCUGCUCCUCGAGCAAGCCCGGACUCAGAGAGAGCUAACCAGUGUUCAGAAUGAACUAUCUGCGACCAGAGAAGAGCUCGAAAAAGCCCUGAUUUUUCAACAAGUGCUUAGAAAAGAUCAAGAAGAGCUAACAACCGUUCGGAGCAAAUUAGCUGCGACAAAGCGAGAGCUAGAACAGGUGAAAAGGCAGUGCGCGGCUGCCAAAAAAGCAGCGACAGAUUUGCAGAAAAAGCAGUCGACGCUGGAGAAAACCAAUCAAUCGCUGAGAAGCGACAAAGAAAAUUAUGUAGAGCGACUAACCCAACAAAGUUCCUACUGCGUAUCGCUAGGAGCCGCAAUGGGAACACUUCUCUGGAAAUGUACGAGUUUGCCCGGGACUAUCGAACUACUUUCCCGAACGGAGAAGACGAAAGAACUGCUACACUUGACCGGAACGACGCUAAAUACAUUCAUUGCAUCUUGUCCUGACUCUUUGCCUGAGGAAGGUUCCCGUGAGUUACUGUUCAUAUCUUCGCUGCUUGGAAUCAUCGCAAAUCUAGUGACUUUAAAAGAAGGCUGUUUCACGCUCACUUCCACCUCCAACGGAGCAGGGACUCUCAUCAACCCAAUUCUAGAAGCUCUACCCACCAUUUACUUGAAAGCCGGAGAUAAUCUUAGAUCAACUGUACUCCUACUCCUACACAAUCUAAGUUUCUAUGAGGACGGCGUCAAAUCCAUGAAGGAAUAUUUUAAGUCAAAUCUACAAAUUCUUGGAGCGGCCAUCAAGAUCAACACAAACGAACAUUCAUUGAUGAUAUCCCUUCUCACACUUCUCGCCCUAACCCGAAAUAUCAGUGAUGUCACGUGUUAUCAGUCUCUUAUGCAAACAAUCCCAAGAAGCGAGUUAGAGAAUUUGAAAUACGACAGUCCAAGCCACGAUGUUAAAAAUGUCAUUUCCGGUAUUCUAAAGAAUUAUGAACAACUCGGAGUGGAGUUUCGAAGACACCGCCCGAACAAAUUAUUUUGAUCCUUCAGCCAUCCAAACCUCUAUUCUCUCCUGAUCUCAGUGAAAUUUUUAUUUCCUUUAGAUUUUUUCAUAUUUGUAAUCUUGAAUGAGUAUUUUCAUGUUGUUAAGUAUAUUUUUUACGAAUAAACCAUUUACGCUACAAUACAAAGCAAAUUCUCCUCGAGUGACCCGAAGUAACGAACUGAUGAGGAAUAACUCUUCGACCCAGUGAAACGAAAAUUGCGCCUUAAAGCUAAAAAAUUUUUCAUGCUCUUCUUGUACUGGGAAAAUAGCGCAGAUCGCUCGCCGGAGGACUGUGGUGGGAUUCCUCGCCGGACAGCGGCUCAGCGAGGAGGAAAUAUUGUAACAUCAUAGGUUAAGUUUUGCUCUUCACUCGAAAAAGAAACACAUUGAAUCUAGAGUCCAGACUCUUAAAAACAUUGACAAGAAAAUGGACUCUUGAUUCAAUCAGAUUUAAGCUUAAAUCAAGAACCAAGCCUCUUAAUUUGAGCGGAUUUCCUUUUGAUUUAAGCUUAAAUCUGAUUGAAUUAAGAGUCCAUUUUCUUGUCAAUGUUUUCAAGAGUCUGGACUCUAGAUCCAAUGUGUUUUUUUUACCAGUGAAUUGUUUCCCGUGUAAGCUGCGGCCAGCCCUAGAUUGAUCAGCACCUUUCAUGAGAUCGCUGAUUGGCGUAAAGGGGCAGGAUGCGCGGGACGUGGGCCUUGGGAAGCGGCGGUGCACGGUGACUCGUGUUUUCCGGAAAAUUUCCAAAGUCAGUAGCUCAUCUUCGCCGGUACGGGAAAUGUCGCGAUUCCGUGCAAUGCCCAGGUGCACGUAAAAUUCCAUCCCUGCGUCCUGAAAGUGUUUUUCGGCGGUGUUGAAUCAGCCUCCGCGAGACCCCCGGCCCCCGGCAUUGCGGAUCAGCAACACUGAGUCAACCGCCCGUUGUUGCCUCCCGGCAAGUCCUGGAGUGCGGUUCAACCCUUCCGUCGAUGUUUUGAGUGAAACUCCGACAGCAGCCUCCGCGUGACCCCCGGCCUUGCGGAUCAGCAACUCCGAGUCAAGAGACCCUUGCCUCUCGCCAAGUCCCGGUGUGCUAGCUGUAGUUUUUGUUUCUUUUUGAGUUUCGGUUGUUUUAUAGAGUUUUUGGAAGUUUGGAAGAUUUUGGAGAAGAUUUAGUCGUGUGUUUUUCGGUUUCGUUGUUCUGGAUUUUGAUUCGUGUACUUUGUGUAUGAUUAUUAAAUCAAAUCUCAACAACUCGACCUGAUUGUUGUUUUGUUAAUAUUCUACCAAGUGAGCUAUGCGUGGCUCCGAAAAUUCUGGUGGAGACUUCGCCUUUUAGGCGCCCCCGAUAUUUACGCUCUUUACGCCCUUAGAGCGAGCCCGUGUCAAGUGUGUUGUCGGCAUAGUCCAGACGUUUCACCAGCCUGAAACCGAGGUAGUCUUUUUCCGUGCUAAAGAACAGCGCCAUAAAAAUUGGAAGAAAAAUAUUCAUGUUAAUCAGGAGAUUCGUGUUUUAUCAAAGGAUAUUUGGCAACGCCUAAAGGUUCAUACGACGUUUUUCCUUAGCACGGCAGUUCUACCAUUCGAAUGUGUGGCCUUGUCCGUCUGAUUUUUUGCCCCAGUUUUGUCUUCAAGAAGGGCGCUCGCACACCAAAAAAAAUCCUUUCAAAUACUUCCACACACCUACUCACUAACCUGCCUGGAGGAAAAAUCUGUGAAAGAGGUCGUUUAGUCGUAAUUUACGGCCCUUGAGACCCUCAAAAUGUUGACAUUGAUGCUCAAGCGCACCGACUGGAUUUUCAACGAUCCGUAAAUUUUACUAACGACCCCACCCCCUCCUUAUUACCGCGCGUUCGAUUCGGCAAUAGGGGUUUUCAGUGACAAAACUACAAAACAAACACGGAUAAGCAUCCAAACACGUGUUUCCAGAGGGUACUUAACUAUGACAAAUGCGCUGGGCAGGGCGGCGCACAGUGGAUCGGGUUAAUUAGGGAGGUCGGACAUGAUAUCUGUACUAUAUAUCUUCAAAUGAAAUGAGGAGAAAACACGGGGUACAGGCUGUAAAUAAAAAAGAUUUUGACGGGACGUUUCGGGGUCUUGCCUUGCUGUUAAGCGGCGGCUCUCUUAUGUGUAAAUUUUAACUUUUGUUUUUUUUCGGUUGAAAAAGGGAAUGUUAACCCCGAAACGUCCCGUCAAAAUCUUUUUAUUUACAGCCUGUACCCCGUGUUUUCUCCUCAUUUCAUUUACAUAUUUUGGGCUGAUUAAAUUGUUACCUGUACUUUAUAUCUUCUAUACUGUAAGCUCCGAUACCUCCUAAAUUUGCAUAUCUGGUAACGCUGAGUUCCAGCGUUUUACCUGACCGAUUUUCAUGAUUUUUCCGGCUAUCGACAGGCAAUUAUCUCUAAAUGAGUCCGUUUUAUUGAGAUUUUAAAAAUAUUAACCGGGUGUUUUUAUAUUACGUGGUAAAGUUUUGCUCCCAUUUAAACAGUGUAAAUUUUUAUUUUUUGUCAUGAUUCGUUUGAUCGUUCUACUGGGCCGAUUUCCAUGAUUUUGCGGCUAUUGACAGGCGAUAGUCCCAAGAUAAGCCCGCUGUAUUCAGAAUUUGAAAAUGGGACCCAGGUUUUUUUAAAUAAGAGUAAACCGGAAAG
rnacentral:lncRNA from 1 species